CCUACGGGCGGCUGCAGUGGGGAAUAUUGCACAAUGGGCGCAAGCCUGAUGCAGCCAUGCCGCGUGUGUGAAGAAGGCCUUCGGGUUGUAAAGCACUUUCAGCGGGGAGGAAGGCGGUGAGGUUAAUAACCUCAUCGAUUGACGUUACCCGCAGAAGAAGCACCGGCUAACUCCGUGCCAGCAGCCGCGGUAAUACGGAGGGUGCAAGCGUUAAUCGGAAUUACUGGGCGUAAAGCGCACGCAGGCGGUCUGUCAAGUCGGAUGUGAAAUCCCCGGGCUCAACCUGGGAACUGCAUUCGAAACUGGCAGGCUAGAGUCUUGUAGAGGGGGGUAGAAUUCCAGGUGUAGCGGUGAAAUGCGUAGAGAUCUGGAGGAAUACCGGUGGCGAAGGCGGCCCCCUGGACAAAGACUGACGCUCAGGUGCGGAAGCGUGGGGAGCAAACAGGAUUAGAUACCCGAGUAGUC
rnacentral:rRNA from 1 species